GCCCUGUUAGCUCAGUGGUAGUAGCGCGUCACUAGUACCGGAGAUAUUUCGGAGUUAUGACGAGGUCACUCGUUCAAGUCGGGUACAGGGCA